rnacentral:rRNA from 1 species
UGGGGAAUUUUGGACAAUGGGCGAAAGCCUGAUCCAGCAAUGCCGCGUGUGUGAAGAAGGCCUUCGGGUUGUAAAGCACUUUUGUCCGGAAAGAAAUCCUUGGCUCUAAUACAGUCGGGGGAUGACGGUACCGGAAGAAUAAGCACCGGCUAACUACGUGCCAGCAGCCGCGGUAAUACGUAGGGUGCAAGCGUUAAUCGGAAUUACUGGGCGUAAAGCGUGCGCAGGCGGUUUGCUAAGACCGAUGUGAAAUCCCCGGGCUCAACCUGGGAACUGCAUUGGUGACUGGCAGGCUAGAGUAUGGCAGAGGGGGGUAGAAUUCCACGUGUAGCAGUGAAAUGCGUAGAGAUGUGGAGGAAUACCGAUGGCGAAGGCAGCCCCCUGGGGCCAAUACUGACGCUCAUGCACGAAAGCGUGGGGAGCAAAACAGGAUUAGAUACCCUGGUAGUCCACGCCCUAAACGAUGUCAACUAGUUGUUGGGGGAUUCAUUUUCCUUAGUAACGUAGCUAACGCGUGAAGUUGACCGCCUGGGGAGUACGGUCGCAAGAUUAAAACUUUAAAGGAAUUGACGGGGUCAUAGCUGUUUCCU